GCACUCAUAGCUCAGCUGAGAUAGAGUACUCGACUACGAACCGAGCGAGUCGAGAGGUUCGAAUCCUCCUGAGUGCGCCA
rnacentral:tRNA from 1 species